AUCCAUGAAUCCAUGGGAGCUGCCGUCUGUGGCCGACUCCCUUCCUAGACAUGGAAGAGCAGAGCCUUGCUAAUUGGCAUAACUUUUACCCUCUUGUGGGUAUGAGUCGUUGACUGUGGCAAGCAACAAGC
ensembl:snoRNA small nucleolar RNA, H/ACA box 24